ensembl:lncRNA
CAGACAUCUGACCUAGAGAAACAGUGAGGCUUGUGUAAAACUGCUACAUGUGUGAUAAUUGGUUACACAUCAACACAAAAGUAACACAGUCAGUACAGAAAGGAUCAGAGUAAUAGCUACUAAAGAAGAGCAGGGUGGGGAAGAGUAUGCCAACACUUUCAGCGAUUUAGAGGUGUUUGGAAUGGACAAGGGAGCUUCCCUGGUGGCUUAGUCUGUAAAGAGUUCGCCUGCAGUGCAGGAGACUGGGGUUCCAUCUCUGGGUCUGGAAGAUCCCCUGGAGAAGGAAAUGGAAUGUGUGAGGAGAAGAGAGAAGAGACUGAAAGACGAGAUGAGGUGAGUCUGAUCGUGAAGAGCAUUGUAAGCCAGGAGACUAUUUUCCAAGAGCAAAGGGAAGCAGUGAACUGUUUAACAGAGCUUGCUGUUUAACUGUUUAACAGAGCUCCAUAAACAUGGAGCAUGAGGAACACGGCACAGCCUGGGACCAGGCAUUCAGGAUCCCCGGCUUCGUCAGUCAGGGAAGCCGGCGAGCAGGAAGAGUGGCUUGAGGGUGCCGAGCCCCAGACGCUGACCAACAUCUGCUUGCUUGUUCUUUCUCAUCUCAGUUACUCACAGCACCAGCUACGUGUAGGGCACCACUCCAGGGGGCAGGGACACCCACUGCUCCGAGCUCCCAGACCUCAGCAGGGCCUUUGUUAUUGCUCUUGUUUUUCCAGAAGUCAUGUGGAGCAAGAGUACUGGAGUGGGUUGCCAUUUCCUCCUCCAGGGUAUCUUCCUGACCCAGGGAUCGAACCCAAGUCUCCCGCAUUGUAGGCAAACGCUUUACCGUCUGAGCCAGAAGUUAGUAACAAAGGACUGGUAGCCUGAACAUCAAGAGACUGUUGUGAAUUAAAGAAACCUAGAUAUCUCAAGUUAAGGAGUUUAGCACUUUUUUAUGUGUGAGAAGAUGCAGGAGUCUGCUCCCUGAAAUCAUUGCUUUCAUCAUCUCAGCUGGGGUAAAUGCAACUUUUGACUCCAUCUCAUAUCUGAACAAAGAGAUCAUGUGACUUGCCCAUGACCGCUGGGAAACGAAUAUCUAGCCAGGAGACCUGAAUCCACUUGCAAUAAGGAAGAUAAAGUUAAAAAAAAAAACAAAACAGAAAACGUGCUGUAGCAAGUUACAGCAUAAUUUGAAGAAGCUUAUCAACCUUAUCAAGUCAAAGCUAUGGUUUUUCCAGUAGUCAUGUACAGAUGUCAGAACUGGACCAUAAAGAAGGCUGAGUGCUAAAGAAGGCUGAUGCUUUUGAACUGUGUUGUUAGAAAAGACUCUUGAGAGUCCCUUGGACAGCAAGGAGAUCAAACCAGUGCAUCCUUAAGGAAAUCAACCCUGAAUAUUCAUUGGAAGGACUGAUGCUGAAGCUGAAGUUCCAGCACUUUGGCCACCUCAUGCGAAGAGCUGACUCAUUGGAAAAGACCCUGAUGCUGGGAAAGAUUGAGGGCAGGGGAGAAGAGGGUGACAGAGGAUGAGAUGGUUGGAUGGGACCAUCGACUCAAUGGAUAUGAGUUUGAGGAAACUCUAGGAGAUAGUGAAGGACAGGGAAGCCUGGCGUGCAGGAAUCCAUGGGGUCACCAAGAAUUGGACAUGACUGAGCAACUGAACAACAAAAAAAAUCAAAGGUCCUCGUUGCAUCAGGCAGGAUCUUUCAUUGUGGUGUGUGGACUCUCUAGUUGUGGCACGUGGACUCAGUGGUUGCAACACACAGGCUUAGUUCCUCUGAGGAACCCCACAUUGGGAGAACUUCUGGUUGCACACAACUCUGAGCCUCUCCUGAUAAAUAGCCCAGCAGGUGUCUCACCGCUUUGAGUUACGUGUGGUUUGCCCAUCUGCGCAGCGUGAGUGACCCAGACAGCAGAAGGACGGGCCUUGUUUCUCAGUGUACGGUCUUGGCAAUUUCUUGGCCCUUGUCCAAGUCACCAGACACACUCUCCAUCAUUACCAUUAACAGCAACGUGUUACAAUGCAGCCAUUACCACUCAUCUACGCCAGCGCCUGAGUUGAUGAGUUGAGAGGAGAGGAGGACAGAAAGGGGAAAUCUAAAGGCAAGGUGCGGUGGGGGCGGGAGACAGCUUCUCCUUUUCUGCCCUUUCUCCAAAAACUUCCCUAGUUUUAUUUCCCAUUUGCUCAGCCGUGUGUUCUCACACUCUCCUUUACCUUGAGAGCUGACUGUUGGACGCGCACAAGAGAAGAACAUGAAGGCCUCCAGAUAAAGUAGACACGGAAUCAACACAGGGUUCCAGUCACUCGUUUUCUUUGACGGGGCUUUACCAGGCUGGAUGGAAGAAGAAAAGACAGCCAGGAAAGCGGGAGUUAUAAAUCAGCUCUGUGCUCUUCCGAGGAUUUAUAUUCAACUGAAGACGUGUCCAAUGCAGGACCUUAUGGCUUUCUGUUUUCUUUUUGCUUACAUGGAGAAAUAACAGUUAAUAUAGUCAACUAUCCCAAGGCAGAAGAGUAUUAUUAAAAAAAGAAUACUUUGCAA